AAUAUUUCAUAGAAAAUUAUAGAAGUUUAGAGUCAGAAGACAACAGUAUAUGAGUAUCUAGAUGAUACUUAUGGGACAACUGGAGGCUGGGCCUGAUGAUUGACUUAGAUAACCUCCUUAGAGUACCUACAUUGUGACCAUAAAGUACUGUGCCCAUGGGAAAACUUUGCGGUCCUGAGGCAAAAGAUAAACUUCACGCUUGAUAAAAAAUACAACCAAAAGAACCUCAGGGUGAUGCCUGACACCCCCAACACGAGCAGCCCACUGACCAUCAAUGCAGCGCAAAUGACUGGUUUCUGAUCCUUCUGCAUAAGCGGCUAUCACAGGGGCAUCCCCAGGUAAUCACUCCUUAUCCAUAUCCUUAAGAAUUUAUAGUUGAUAAGAAUCUAAAAAAGCAGAAGCCCAAAGGAAGACAAACAUCCAGGCCUUCUGCUUAUUUUUCAUGUUUUAAUAUUUUUGAGGGAAAUAUUUGAAACAUGGAAUCAUAUAACUAUCCAAAAAAGAUCCCGGAGAAUAUUUAUUGAGCUUUCUCGUUUUCUCACUUUACAGUCCUGUCUGAAACCUGUCGUUAAACUUUAAAAAAAAAUUAUUGUUAUUUAUAAGCUGAGAACACUUUUUGCUUUAUAAAAUGUUGACACUUCAAUGUACUUUUGGAGCAAACUCUCUCUUGUUUAUGGGGAAAAACAUGCCUGAAUGUAUCCCUUAAGACCUAUCUCAUAAUGCAGAGGUACCCCUCAAUUUUCCUUAAGGAAAACUAUUUUUAUUUAUUUAUUUUUUUGUUUUUCUGUCUUUCCUAGGGCCGCAACCGCA
rnacentral:lncRNA from 1 species